GAUGAACGCUGGCGGCGUGCCUAAUACAUGCAAGUCGAGCGAACGGACGAGAAGCUUGCUUCUCUGAUGUUAGCGGCGGACGGGUGAGUAACACGUGGAUAACCUACCUAUAAGACUGGGAUAACUUCGGGAAACCGUAGCUAAUACCGGAUAAUAUUUUGAACCGCAUGGUUCAAAAGUGAAAGACGGUCUUGCUGUCACUUAUAGAUGGAUCCGCGCUGCAUUAGCUAGUUGGUAAGGUAACGGCUUACCAAGGCAACGAUGCAUAGCCGACCUGAGAGGGUGAUCGGCCACACUGGAACUGAGACACGGUCCAGACUCCUACGGGAGGCAGCAGUAGGGAAUCUUCCGCAAUGGGCGAAAGCCUGACGGGCAACGCCGCGUGAGUGAUGAAGGUCUUCGGAUCGUAAAACUCUGUUAUUAGGGAAGAACAUAUGUGUAAGUAACUGUGCACAUCUUGACGGUACCUAAUCAGAAAGCCACGGCUAACUACGUG
rnacentral:rRNA from 1 species